UUCCGGUUGAUCCUGCCAGAGGUUACUGCUAUCGGAGUUCGAUUAGGCCAUGCGANGUMUAAAGGUUUCUUCGGAAGCCUUGGCGGNACUGCUCAGUAACACGUGGAUAACCUGCCCUUAGGUCUGGCAUAACCCCGGGAAACUGGGGAUAAUACCGGAUAGCUCAGGGGUCGCUGGAAUGCGCCCUGAUCCAAAGCUCCGGCGCCUAAGGAUGGGUCUGCGACCUAUCAGGUUGUAGUGGGUGUAAUGUACCUACUAGCCGACGACGGGUACGGGUUGUGAGAGCAAGAGCCCGGAGAUGGAUUCUGAGACACGAAUCCAGGCCCUACGGGGUGCAGCAGGCGCGAAACCUUUACAAUGUGCGAAAGCAUGAUAAGGGAACUCCGAGUGCCAGCAUUAAAUGUUGGCUGUCCUUGUGCCUAAAACGCACAAGAUAGCAAGGGCCGGGUAAGACCGGAGCCAGCCGCCGCGGUAACACCGGCGGCCCGAGUGGUAGCCGCUAUUAUUGGKUCUAAAGGGUCCGUAGCCGGUUUGAUAAGUCCUCUGGGAAAUCUGAUUGCUCAACAAUCAGGCUGCCAAGGGAUACUGUCAAACUUGAGACCGGGAGAGGUAAGAGGUACUUCAAGGGUAGGAGUGAAAUCUUAUAAUCCUUGGGGGACCGUCUGUGGCGAAGGCGUCUUACCAGAACGGGUCUGACGGUGAGGGACGAAAGCUGGGGGCGCGAACCGGAUUAGAUACCCGGGUAGUCCCAGCCGUAAACGAUGCUCGCUAUGUGUCAGAUACGGUGCGACCGUAUCUGGUGCCGUAGGGAAGCCGUGAAGCGAGCCACCUGGGAAGUACGGCCGCAAGGCUGAAACUUAAAGSCAUUGGCGGGGGAGCACUACAACGGGUGGAGCUGCGGUUUAAUUGG
rnacentral:rRNA from 1 species